UUUCGCAAUGCCCGAAAGGGUGACGAAGCGACGCCGCGUGGGUGAGGAAGGCCCUCGGGUUGUAAAGCCCUGUCAGGAGUCAAGAAAUGUAGAUACGCUAAUAUCGUAUCUAUUUGACAAAGGCUCCAAAGGAAGCCACGGCUAACUCUGUGCCAGCAGCCGCGGUAAUACAGAGGUGGCAAGCGUUGUUCGGAAUUAUUGGGCGUAAAGAGCACGUAGGUGGGUUUGCAAGUCAGAUGUGAAAGCCUUCUGUUCAACGGAAGAAUUGCAUCUGAAACUGCAAGUCUUGAGUGUAGGAGGGGAGAAUGGAACUUCUGGUGGAGCGGUGAAAUGCGUAGAUAUCAGAAGGAACGCCGGCGGCGAAAGCGAUUCUCUGGCCUAUUACUGACACUCAGUGUGCGAAAGCUAGGGGAGCAAACGGGAUUAGAUACCCCGGUAGUCCUAGCCGUAAACGAUGGGCACUAAGUAGAGGGGUUUU
rnacentral:rRNA from 1 species